rnacentral:rRNA from 1 species
GUGGGGAAUCUUAGACAAUGGGCGCAAGCCUGAUCUAGCCAUGCCGCGUGAGCGAUGAAGGCCUUAGGGUUGUAAAGCUCUUUCGUGGGGGAAGAUAAUGACUGUACCCCAAGAAGAAGCCCCGGCUAACUCCGUGCCAGCAGCCGCGGUAAUACGGAGGGGGCUAGCGUUGUUCGGAAUUACUGGGCGUAAAGCGCACGUAGGCGGACUGGAAAGUCAGGGGUGAAAUCCCGGGGCUCAACCCCGGAACUGCCUUUGAAACUCCCAGUCUUGAGUUCGAGAGAGGUGAGUGGAAUUCCGAGUGUAGAGGUGAAAUUCGUAGAUAUUCGGAGGAACACCAGUGGCGAAGGCGGCUCACUGGCUCGGUACUGACGCUGAGGUGCGAAAGCGUGGGGAGCAAACAGGAUUAGAUACCCUUGUAGUCC